UACGGAGGGUGCAAACGUUGCUCGGAAUUAUUGGGCGUAAAGCGCGCGUAGGCGGCUACUUAAGUCGGAUGUGAAAGCCCCUGGCUCAACUGGGGAAGUGCACCCGAAACUGAGCAGCUAGAGUACGAAAGAGGGUCGCGGAAUUCCCGGUGUAGAGGUGAAAUUCGUAGAUAUCGGGAGGAACACCGGUGGCGAAGGCGGCGACCUGGGUCGAUACUGACGCUGAGGCGCGAAAGCGUGGGGAGCAAACAGG
rnacentral:rRNA from 1 species